rnacentral:rRNA from 1 species
AUGGAGCAGUGGAGGAACACGGCGGCGCAGGCGUCGGCUCGCAGCUUUACCUACAUCAACGGGACGAAUGCAGUAGUCGAGACCAUCAUUGACGCCCGCCAGCAGUACAGCCUGGCCGCCGAGGACUGCCGCAGAUUCCGCCCGGGCGUGCAUCCCUUGCCCAACGCCGGCCAGGGCGCUUCAGCAGGCGGCCUCAUCAUGGACCUCGCCAUCGGCCGGAUCAAGCGCAUCAGCAGGUUCCACGCCGUACUGGGCACCGUCUUCUCCCUCUGCGUUGCGCACAUCGGGCUCCAGGCCAACGCGCCGUGGUGGUGGGACAGGUGGCAACUCCACCACGCCGACGCUGCCCGCCACGCGGAGACAGCGCUGCAGUGCCUACACUCCACCAAGUCGCACGGCCAUGCGGCCCUCGGCGUGUUCCACGUCAUGCUCAGGCCGCCAUCGCCGCGAGCAGUCGCCCACGUCUGGGCACCCGCGGCCGAGCAGCUCCUGCGCGGCGCCAUCGACAAUCUGGCCAUGGCGGAGGCCGCGGUGGAGCGGAUGCGCCCGGCCAUUGUCGCCCAGUUCUUCGACGCCUCGAUGCUUCUUCAUGGCUGA